rnacentral:lncRNA from 1 species
GCUACUAAAACUUUGGCCAUUGCGGAGUUUUUCGAAAUGUUACAUGUCGGUUGUUCAGAAGUUUGAAUGGUUUAAUGGCAAUUUUAACGCUGAGUGAGCCGUACGGCAUCCGUCUAACAAUGUGGCCGCUAUUCCAGAAGAAGCAAUUGCUACCGCAAUUUCGGAUCUCGCACGUACAGUGGCCAAAAUCAAUGACAUGAGGAAUGUCUUCCCAGUUCCACCG